AUUGAACGCUGGCGGCAGGCCUAACACAUGCAAGUCGAGCGGAUGACGGGAGCUUGCUCCUUGAUUCAGCGGCGGACGGGUGAGUAAUGCCUAGGAAUCUGCCUGGUAGUGGGGGACAACGUUUCGAAAGGAACGCUAAUACCGCAUACGUCCUACGGGAGAAAGUGGGGGAUCUUCGGACCUCACGCUAUCAGAUGAGCCUAGGUCGGAUUAGCUAGUUGGUGAGGUAAAGGCUCACCAAGGCGACGAUCCGUAACUGGUCUGAGAGGAUGAUCAGUCCCACUGGAACUGAGACACGGUCCAGACUCCUACGGGAGUCAGCAGUGGGGAAUAUUGGACAAUGGGCGAAAGCCUGAUCCAGCCAUGCCGCGUGUGUGAAGAAGGUCUUCGGAUUGUAAAGCACUUUAAGUUGGGAGGAAGGGCAGUAAGUUAAUACCUUGCUGUUUUGACGUUACCAACAGAAUAAGCACCGGCUAACUUCGUGCCAGCCGCCGCAGUAACAC
rnacentral:rRNA from 1 species